UUACGGCCACAUCACGUCGAAAUACCAGUUCCCGUACGAUCACUGAAGUUAAGCAACAUUAAGCCUGCUCAGUACCUAGAUGGGUAACCGCUUCGGAAUACCAGCUGCUGUAAG